rnacentral:rRNA from 1 species
AGACCCGAAACCCGGUGAUCUAGCCAUGGGCAGGUUGAAGGUUGGGUAACACUAACUGGAGGACCGAACCGACUAAUGUUGAAAAAUUAGCGGAUGACCUGUGGCUGGGGGUGAAAGGCCAAUCAAACCGGGAGAUAGCUGGUUCUCCCCGAAAGCUAUUUAGGUAGCGCCUCGUGAACUCAUCUCCGGGGGUAGAGCACUGUUUCGGCUAGGGGGCCAUCCCGGCUUACCAACCCGAUGCAAACUGCGAAUACCGGAGAAUGUUAUCACGGGAGACACACGGCGGGUGCUAACGUCCGUCGUGAAGAGGGAAACAACCCAGACCGCCAGCUAAGGUCCCAAAGUCAUGGUUAAGUGGGAAACGAUGUGGGAAGGCCCAGACAGCCAGGAUGUUGGCUUAGAAGCAGCCAUCAUUUAAAGAAAGCGUAAUAGCUCACUGGUCGAGUCGGCCUGCGCGGAAGAUGUAACGGGGCUAAACCAUGCACCGAAGCUGCGGCAGCGACACUGUGUGUUGUUGGGUAGGGGAGCGUUCUGUAAGCCUGCGAAGGUGUCCCGUGAGGGAUGCUGGAGGUAUCAGAAGUGCGAAUGCUGACAUAAGUAACGAUAAAGCGGGUGAAA